CCCUCUAUAUUGUCACUGUUAAACAUUUUAUUUUACAAAAUCUUAUAGCACUUUCCAAACAGUUACUCUAUUGAAAUGAUUUCAUCCCAGGUUGCCGAAUAGAAUGACCUAUUCAAUGUACUCCCGUAUAAUGCCAAAGUAAUCACGACCUUUUUCUACUGACAAACAGGCACCGCAGGCACUUAGGACUAAGCAACUUUGGUCCAAUUAUCAGAUUUAGAUCUAUAAACAGAUUCGUCAACGCUGACAGUUCAAGUUCAACUAAGAAAUAUUUAUAACGAUGGUCAAGGCUAUACACGAGACUUGCAAAGAUGCGUAAGGGAUCAGAGUUGACAGCACAAGAGCACGUUGAAGUAUUUCUUUAGGCACACGUUCAACUGCAGUUGGCGCAAAACUUGAACCUUGCUGGUCAUCAAACGAAACAAAGACAUUGUAAAGGGAGACUACUUAAAGUACACAGAUCAACAAUUUCUUCAUUUAGAAUUUGUUUAGUUAAUACCGUGCAGCAAUCUCUAGAUUAGAAACUGACAAGUUAAAAAUACACUUGUAUUAAUGAACUUGAAAACAGAUGUUGAUAGUGUUUUACAAAAACUGGAGUGGUUUUGGAAAAAAGAGAUGAAGUUUUAGCUAGGAAAACAAAAUUUAACUCCUAGAACUAUCAAAGCAUUUUACUUUCAUUCUGAAAUGGAAGCUAUCACUACGUGACAAUAAGAGGAUACAACUUUAUAUUACUAUAGCUAGCUACAAAAUAAACUUUGAAGUCACUUCUAUUUAGUCUUACAUAAUAUUAAUUACCAUUAACAAGUUCUUCAUCAUUUUAAACAUUAUUGUACAAUGGGGUAAAGUCAAUAUAAAUAUUUUUAAAAAUUAUUUUUAUUGU